rnacentral:tRNA from 1 species
CAGGGAGACAACAAAAUGUUUAAUAUUAUUAUUUUGUCACCUUAGGUCGAUCGGUAUCUUACAUUCUUAGUUUUUAAGAAUUUUAAUUCCUAAGUUUUUCUAGGUCACACCCAUUAUUUUUCCUGGGCCAUUAGCUCAGGUGGUUAGAGCGCACCCCUGAUAAGGGUGAGGUCCCUGGUUCAAGUCCAGGAUGGCCCAUAUCUCUAUGUUGGGGGUAUAGCUCAGUUGGUAGAGCGCCUGCUUUGCAAGCAGGAUGUCAGCGGUUCGAGUCCGCUUACCUCCACUGAUUACCACCUCUUCCAUAAUUUUUAGAAAGGGAAUGUUUUGAGUUGUGAUCAAAUUCUGAACGAAUCUAGCUUCCUAAUGAAAUCAUUAAGAUGCUGGACUCAUUGAAUUAAUUUCAUUGUUUUCAGAGAACCUUGACAACUGCAUAGAUUAUUUUUAAAGACAAUAAGCAUCUUUAUUGAUGCAGAUUGAUUAUUUGUGCAAAUGCACUAAUAACAAUUCUAUUGAGCUGAUGCUUCAAUUUUUUGAAGUUAUU